UGUUGGCUGCGAAAUUAAUUGGGAGAGAAAAAAAUUUUUGUUCGAUCAAACUGUCUUUCUUCGUAUUCUCCGACUCUCCUCAAUCUCUCCGUCGACUUCUUCUUCUCCGAUUUUCUGUUCUUCCGAUCUUCUUCGACUUCUCCGAUAUAUCUUCUUCUCCAUCGCCUUCUCCGUCACCACGAGCACUGUCUGCCAGAGCAUUUGCUUCUCCGUCGCCUUCUCUGUCGGUCGCCUUCUCCGUCGGAUCGUCCAUUGAACAACAGCCUGCUACUCCGGCGGAAUUAAGGUGAAUACGGAGUAUAGAACUUGGGUGAUCGCGCAUAGUCCGUACAGGUUGAAUAUGAUCCAGGUAAAGAGAUAUUGUACAGAGCAGUGUAAGUCUUCUUUUUCUCUUUGGCUUAAGCAGCAUCUCCAGAAUUUGCAGAAAGACCGAGUCUUUACCAUUACUUUGGACGAUCAUUUACUGUUAGCUAUGUGUGUUUUAACCAGUGAAAUUCUCCAACCAAACUACUGAUUUUGGACAAGGUUUAAAUGAGUUUUCUUUAACACCUAAGAAAGAAAAAGGAUUCUCAACAGUAGUCGUAGACAUAGAAGCUGAAGUAACGGAUGCAGACGACUUCGACCGAGCAAAAGUGAUUUUGUAGAGACAACAAACUUGUGCAAAGAGGUCGUUUUGGGAUAUAGAAGUAAUAUAUAGAAAUGCACAUCUAUAUGUAUAUAUAUAUAUAUAUCACAUUUUAUCUUUGUUAGGAAUGAUUGUUUGCUGUUUAAAGUAUAGUAGGCUCCCAUGUACGCCUGUUUUAUUCGUCUUAUAUAACUUAAUUCCCCCCUAAG